GACGAACGCUGGCGGCGUGCUUAACACAUGCAAGUCGAACGGAAAGGCCCUGCUUUUGUGGGGUGCUCGAGUGGCGAACGGGUGAGUAACACGUGAGUAACCUGCCCUUGACUUUGGGAUAACUUCAGGAAACUGGGGCUAAUACCGGAUAGGAGCUCCUGCUGCAUGGUGGGGGUUGGAAAGUUUCGGCGGUUGGGGAUGGACUCGCGGCUUAUCCGCUUGUUGGUGGGGUAGUGGCUUACCAAGGCUUUGACGGGUAGCCGGCCUGAGAGGGUGACCGGCCACAUUGGGACUGAGAUACGGCCCAGAAUCCUACGGGAGGCAGCAGGGGGGAAUAUUGCACAAUGGGCGGAAGCCUGAUGCAGCAACGCCGCGUGCGGGAUGACGGCCUUCGGGUUGUAAACCGCUUUCGACUGUGACGAAGCGUGAGUGACGGUAAUGGGUAAAGAAGCACCGGCUAACUACGUG
rnacentral:rRNA from 1 species